rnacentral:rRNA from 1 species
GACGAACGCUGGCGGCGUGCUUAACACAUGCAAGUCGAGCGGUAAGGCCCUUUCGGGGGUACACGAGCGGCGAACGGGUGAGUAACACGUGGGUGACCUGCCCUCAGCUCUGGGAUAAGCCUGGGAAACCGGGUCUAAUACUGGAUAUGACUCCAUGACGCAUGUUGUGGGGUGAAAGCCUUGUGCGGCUGAGGAUGGGCCCGCGGCCUAUCAGCUUGUUGGUGGGGUGANGGCCUACCAAGGCGACGACGGGUAGCCGGCCUGAGAGGGCACCGGCCACACUGGGACUGAGACACGGCCCAGACUCCUACGGGAGGCAGCAGUGGGGAAUCUUGCGCAAUGGGCGAAAGCCUGACGCAGCGACGCCGCGUGAGGGAUGACGGCCUCGGUU